CCUGAUCAACGCUAAUCGGAUCAGGGUUAGUCGGGUCCUAAGGGUAAGCCGAACGGCGAUCUCGAUGGAUAAUCGGUUAAUAUUCCGAUACUAACAUAUACCUCGAUGGAGAGACGAAGGAACGUAAGUGACGCCGCCUGACGGAAUAGGUGGUUAAAGGGCGUAGGUAUAGGGACAGAUUAAGAGUUAGUCCUUGCUGAAACCCGACAGUACAGAGCGGCUACGGGCAAUUUGAUAGUGCACCCAAGUCGACUUCCGAGAAAAUCUUCUAAGUUAUAGUAUAUGUUACCCGUACCGUAAACCGACACAGGUGGUCGAGGAGAGUAUCCUAAGGUGCUCGAGUGAAUCACGGUUAAGGAACUAGGCAAAUUAACCCCGUAACUUCGGGAAAAGGGGUCCCUAUGAAAGUAGGGCGCAGCGAAGAGGUCCAGGCGACUGUUUAUCAAAAACACAGGGCUCUGCAAAUUCGAAAGAAGACGUAUAGGGCCUGACACCUGCCCGGUGCUGGAAGGUUAAGAGGGGAUGUCAUCGCAAGAGAAGCAUUGAAUCGAAGCCCCAGUAAACGGCGGCCGUAACUAUAACGGUCCUAAGGUAGCGAAAUUCCUUGUCGGGUAAGUUCCGACCUGCACGAAUGGUGUAACGAUCUGGACACUGUCUCAACCGUGAGCUCGGUGAAAUUGUAGUCCCGGUGAUGAUGCCGGGUACCCGCAACGGGACGAAAAGACCCCGUGAACCUUUACUAUAGCUUAACGCUGAAUUUGGGUACACAAUGUGUAGGAUAGGCAGGAGACUACGAAGCGGGCACGCCAGUGUUCGUGGAGUCGACGUUGAAAUACUGCCCUUUGUGUACUUGAGUUCUAACCCUCGAGAGGGGACACCGUUUGGUGGGUAGUUUGACUGGGGUGGUCGCCUCCAAAAGCGUAACGGAGGCUUCCCAAGGUACCCUCAGCACGAAUGGUAACCGUGCGCGGAGUGCAAUAGCAUAAGGGUGCUUGACUGUGAGACAUACAAGUCGACCAGGUACGAAAGUAGGGUAUAGUGAUCCGGUGGUUCUGCGUGGACUGGCCAUCGCU
rnacentral:rRNA from 1 species